rnacentral:lncRNA from 1 species
CGGGAGUGAGUGUGAGUGUGAGAGCAAGAACAGCCCGCAGGUCCCGAGGCGCUUGCAGGGGACUCUGCCGCGGAAAGUUCCCAGUCCCCAGCCGCAGAAGCUUUUUAUUUUUGGUUGAUUCCUGCUGUCUACUCCUCUUGGAUGCCUUUGUGAAACUGCUUCUAUCUGAGAAGGAGGAGUUGCCAUUUAGCAAGUAGUAGGUGGUACCGUGUGUGGCAGAGUCCGAUGUGUUACACCACGAGGACAUUCAUCUUUGCAAUUGGUGAAGUCCUUCUACCUAGUUCCCCUUCCUUGUGCACAGAAGAGGACUGGAAAACUCCUCACAGGACUGCAUACUGCUAUCUCUGAGAAACCAGAAAGAAGAAAGUACCUCUUCCUUCCAAGCUUCUACCUAAGAGUAUACUGGAAGGUUUACCUAGAGCAACAAGACAACGAAAUGGAUUGUCCUUCUCACGCUAGUCCACACACAAUCCUCAUCAUUUUGAUAAGAUAGCAUGAAGUCUCUUAUCGCUUGUGGAUCCAGCACUUUGGUUCAGGUUCAUCUGCCCAUAAUUCUCUAAGAUUUGGAGCUGUUGAGGAGUGGCUCAUAGUAGACACUGAACCAUCAGCCAACAGCAUUUGUUGUCCUGGAUGUCUGUGCCAACCUUUCGAGUCACACUGGGGUCUAAAGACACACCUGGAAUAAAAAUCAGAAUGCUUAAGAAACUUAAUAUGAUCUGCGGGAGAAUACAUGAGGUUUUUGUUUCAUACCACAGUCUGAUGACAGCAUGGAUUUCAACUGAUGAUGUUCACCUUUGCCUCUUGGCUUUUCCAGACAAGGAUCACCUAUGGGAUGGAUAUGGCAUCAGAAAAUGUCUAGUUUUUGCAAACCUUCUUGAAAAUGAAAUAGCUCCUGUUCAUUCUCAUCCAUCUCUUAUCUUCUAUCGUGACUGUUAAGCCAGUAUCUGCAACCUACAAAGCCAUCUUUCACGAUGACAUCAUCCUCAGGAUGGACUUUGGAAGUGCAUAAGCAGCAGUGGAGAAGAACUCUCAGCUUCCAAGGAUUAUGCAGAGCAAACCCUCCAUUAUGGACCUGACUUUUCUUCCCUAAAAUGUUUAUGUGCGAAAGCAAUAGACUCCAAUCUUGGCUAAUGCACUAUUAUUUUGAGUUAUCUGUUACUCACAGCCAACUGUGCUGAAAAGUUUCCAAAUGCUCAGGCCAACUUUCUACACAAAUAGAGAUUGCUGCUCUUCUGAAUCAAAUCUGAGUAAUGUAGACCAUGGUUCUUGUUUUAGCAGAAAAUGCAUUUCUCCUACCUGUCAUUAAAAUGAUAGAUGGUCUCUCCAUUACACAGAUAUGUUCAGUGUGUGCUAAUGGUGUUCUUGGUGGGUGGACUAAAAUCAGAGAAUUACUCAUGAAGGUAGAAUCUUAACCAAACUAUCCCUCAAUUUUUACCUUAGCUCCCCAAACUCUCACCCCUUGAUCCUGGCCUUUGCUUUAAACCUGUUUUCUAGUGGGUCACUCUUUUUGUUUUUGUUUUGUUUUGUUUUGUUUUUUGUUUUUUUUUCCUGGAAGGUGUUGAAGUCGUAAUAUACAUAUAUCACCAAAUUUUCAUAAAUUGGUAUAAUAUUAAGUUAAAAAGGAGAUUGCAUCCUGAUUUUUCUUUUUAUAAGAAAAAUACAGGAUGUGAAGCAUAGCUGCCUUUUUUAUUUUGAAAGUUUAAAUAAUCAGUAAAAAAAAUUACAACACAUUUUAUUCCUUUUUCUUUUCAUAAAUCACAUAUUUUAUAUCAAAUAGCUAUGCAAUGUGUGCAUAUAUGUUCUGCAUGAAGAAGACUAGACCAUAGAUUAUGAAAUUCAUUUUAGUUUCUAGUUUAUAAUUAAUAUGCAUUUUCCCU